UCCGGCGUUGGGUAAUUGGCAGCCCGCUGUCUUUUGGUGUCAGUUGUCCAGGUUCGAGUCCUGGCGCCGGAG
rnacentral:tRNA from 2 species